GACAGAGGGUGCAAACGUUGUUCGGAAUUACUGGGCGUAAAGCGUGCGUAGACGGUUAUUUAAGUCAGGUGUGAAAGCCCCGGGCUCAACCUGGGAAUUGCAUUUGAGACUGAAUAGCUAGGGUGCGGAAGAGGGAAGCGGAAUUUCCGGUGUAGCGGUGAAAUGCGUAGAUAUCGGAAGGAACACCAGUGGCGAAAGCGGCUUCCUGGUCCAGCACCGACGUUCAGGCACGAAAGCGUGGGGAGCAAACAGG
rnacentral:rRNA from 1 species